rnacentral:rRNA from 1 species
AAGGGCUGACCAAGCUGACGAUCUCUAGCAAGUCUGAGGGGAUGGCCAGCCUCAAUGGAACUGAGACACGGUCCGGACUCCUACGGGAGGCAGCAGUGGGGAAUAUUGCGCAUUGGGGGGAGCCCUGACGCAGCCAUGCCGCGUGAAUGAAGAAGGACUUCGGGUUGGAAAGUUCUUUCGGUGAUGAGGAAUGCGAUUAGUUUAAGAGAUUAAUUGAUUGACGAUAAUC